rnacentral:rRNA from 1 species
AUUGAACGCUGGCGGCAGGCCUAACACAUGCAAGUCGAACGAGUGGCGGACGGGUGAGUAAUGUCUGGGAAACUGCCUGAUGGAGGGGGAACACCACUGGAAACGGUAGCUAAUACCGCAUACCAUCAGAUUUGCCCAGAUGGGAUUAGCUAGUUGGUGGGGUAACGGCUCACCAAGGCGACGAUCCCUAGCUGGUCUGAGAGGAUGACCAGCAAGACUGGAACUGAGACACGGUCCAGACUCCUACGGGAGGCAGCAGUGGGAAAUAUUGCACAAUGAGCGCAAGCCUGAUGCAGCAAUGCGGCGUGUAUGAAGAGGGCCUUCGGGUUGUAAAGUACUUUCAGCGGGGAGGCGUUACCCGCAGAAGAAGCACCGGCUAACUCCGUGCCAGCAGCCGCGGUAAUUC